rnacentral:rRNA from 1 species
GUAAACCUGAGAAACCCAAAAGAUCGAAUGAGGAGAUUCAUCGUCAGCACACCUAGUAUAUGUGCAAGUUAUGAUACGAGUUAUUAUUCUUGUAGUAAUGCUUGUACGUUCUUGUAUUAUUUUUGCUGGGAGUUGUCGGCGUGCACUUCUCCUCUAGUAGGACGUCGCGACCCGUUGGGUGUCGUUCUAUGACCCGGAUGGUAGCCUUUAUUUCUUUAUUGAUUUAAAGACCACUGGUGAUCUGAUCGGCUGCCCGGCGGUAUUCGCACGGUAUUGAGUCGCAAUAUAAUUUAUUUGCGUUGAGCCCGUUGCAAGCGCGGCCAUUCUCCCGGUAGUGCGGAUUUAAUGCCGUCAUUGGGGCUGGCCAGCUGUUGGUUGACGGUGUUCUUUAACUGGCUCAUUUAUUACCGGUCAGCGACGCUAUUGCUUUGG